rnacentral:rRNA from 1 species
GGCUAAGGGGUGCAACUCCCUAACCAUCGUGAACGUUACCCAACCGUUGCUUCGGCGGGCGGCCCCAGUGGCCCCCGGCCCCGCGAGGGGCGCCCGCCGGAGGUUAACAAACCCUUGAUACUUAAUGGCCUCUCUGAGUCUUCUGUACUGAAUAAGUCAAAACUUUCAACAACGGAUCUCUUGGUUCUGGCAUCGAUGAAGAACGCAGCGAAAUGCGAUAAGUAAUGUGAAUUGCAGAAUUCAGUGAAUCAUCGAAUCUUUGAACGCACAUUGCGCCCGCCAGUAUUCUGGCGGGCAUGCCUGUCCGAGCGUCAUUUCACCCAUCAAGCCCCCGGCUUGUGUUGGGGACCUGCGGCUGCCGCAGGCCCUGAAAACCAGUGGCGGGCUCGCUGUCACACCGAGCGUAGUAAUAUCAUCUCGCUCAGGGCGUGCUGCGGGUUCCGGCCGUUAAACGACCUUUCUAACCCAAGGUUGACCUCGGAUCAGGUAGGAAGACCCGCUGAACUUAAGCAUAUCAAAAGCCCGGAGGAA